GAUACGGAUGAGUUCUGGAGUAGGAUGACUGAGAUUAUGUCAGCUCAGGCGAGGACUAUCACUGACGGGCUGACGAGCAGAUUAGAUAUUAUGUCAGCUCAGGCGAGGACUGUCACUGAUGGGCUGACGAGCCGAUUGGACAUCAUGUCUGCUGAGAUCAGUGAUCUGAGGCAGCAGAUAGGAGCACUCCGGAGAGAGAGAGAGACUCCUGGACCAUCUGUGCCACAGGCUGCUGAGUCAGAGAUUUCGGCACAGAGUCAUCCAGCUCGUCGUGCUCCACGCCAGACACAGUCUCACCA
rnacentral:lncRNA from 1 species